UAUUUUACAUGUAAAUUUUUGUGUGAUUUAAUUUUAUUUUUAAGAAUUUUGGUUAUUUUUUAUUCACAGUAUUUAAUAUUAAAUAUUAAGGUAAUUUAGAUUUGGUAAUUAUUUGUAUCAUAGGAUAAAUUUGUGCCAGCAUCUGCGGUUAUACAAAUUAUGAAAGUAAAAUUUUUUGGUAGGUAGUUAAUUGAUUUUUUUUAAAAUUAUUAUUGUUAUUUUUAGGUGAGAUUAAAUUAUUAAUUAUAUUUUUAUAAUUAUUUGAAGCUACGAAAUUUUUUUUUUUAAACUAGGAUUAGAUACCCUAUUAUUAAAUGAUGUUAAUUUUGACCUGGGUAUUAAUAGUUAAGGUCUUUAAACCUAAAAAAUUUGGCGGUGCUUUAGUCUAUUUAGAGGAAUCUGUUCCGUAAUCGAUAACCCACGAUGAAUUUUACUAAUUCUUGUUUAGUUUAUAUACCGUCGUUAUCAGAAUAUUUCUUUAGAAUAUAAUUUUCUUUAAUUUUUAUUAAGAUUUAUUUCAGAUCAAGGUGUAGCUUAUGUUUUAGAGGUAAUGGAUUACAAUAAAUUUAUUUAAAUGGAUACUUAUUUGAAAUAUUUAGUUGAAGGUGGAUUUAAUAGUAAAUUUAUUAAUAUAAUUAAUUUGAUUAUAGCUCUAUAGCAUGUACACAUCGCCCGUCACUCUUUUUAAUUAAAGAUAAGUCGUAACAUAGUAGAUGUACUGGAAGGUGUAUCUAGAAUG
rnacentral:ncRNA from 1 species